GCAUAUCAAUAAGCGGAGGAAAGAACCACAGGGAUUGCCUCAGUAACGGCGAGUGAAGCGGCAAGAGCUCAAAUUUGAAAGCUGGCCCCCUCGGGGUCCGCAUUGUAAUUUGCAGAGGAUGCUUCGGGAGUGGCCCCCAUCUAAGUGCUCUGGAACGGGCCGUCAUAGAGGGUGAGAAUCCCGUAUGGGAUGGGGUGUCCGCGACCAUGUGAAGCUCCUUCGACGAGUCGAGUUGUUUGGGAAUGCAGCUCUAAAUGGGUGGUAAAUUUCAUCUAAAGCUAAAUAUUGGCCGGAGACCGAUAGCGCACAAGUAGAGUGAUCGAAAGAUGAAAAGCACUUUGAAAAGAGAGUUAAAAAGCACGUGAAAUUGUUGAAAGGGAAGCGCUUGCGACCAGACUCGCCUACGGGGUUCAGCCGGUAUUCGUACCGGUGUACUUCCCCGUGGGCGGGCCAGCGUCGGUUUGGGCGGCCGGUCAAAGGCCCUCGGAAUGUAACGCCUCUCGGGGCGUCUUAUAGCCGAGGGUGCCAUGCGGCCAGCCCGGACCGAGGAACGCGCUUCGGCACGGACGCUGGCAUAAUGGUCGUAAGCGACCCGUCUUGAAACACGGACCAAGGAGUCUAACAUCUACGCGAGUGUUCGGGUGUCAAACCCGUGCGCGCAGUGAAAGCGAACGGAGGUGGGAACCCUCACGGGUGCACCAUCGACCGAUCCUGAAGUCUUCGGAUGGAUUUGAGUAAGAGCGUAGCUGUUGGGACCCGAAAGAUGGUGAACUAUGCCUGAAUAGGGCGAAGCCAGAGGAAACUCUGGUGGAGGCUCGCAGCGGUUCUGACGUGCAAAUCGAUCGUCAAAUUUGGGUAUAGGGGCGAAAGACUAAUCGAACCAUCUAGUAGCUGGUUCUGC
rnacentral:rRNA from 1 species